UUUCCGUAGGUGAACCUGCGGAAGGAUCUUUACAGAGUUCAUGCCCUCACAGGUAGAUCUCCCACCCUUGAAUAUUUAUACCUUAGUUGCUUUGGCAGGCCGUGGAAACACCAUGGGCUCCGGCUUAUGCGUGCCUGCCAGAGGAAACAAACUCUGUUUUUAGUGAUGUCUGAGUACUAUAUAAUAGUUAAAACUUUCAACAACGGAUCUCUUGGUUCUG
rnacentral:misc_RNA from 1 species